rnacentral:rRNA from 1 species
AGACGAACCGUACGAACGUUAUUCGGAAUCACUGGGCUUAAAGAGUGCGUAGGCGGCUUGGCAGGUGGGGUGUGAAAUCCCUCGGCUCAACCGAGGAACUGCGCUCCAAACCGUCAGGCUCGAGGGAGAUAGAGGUGAGCGGAACUGAUGGUGGAGCGGUGAAAUGCGUUGAUAUCAUCAGGAACACCCGUGGCGAAAGCGGCUCACUGGGUCUCUUCUGACGCUGAGGCACGAAAGCUAGGGUAGCGAACGGGAUUAGAAACCCCAGUAGUCC